rfam:Nicotiana attenuata strain TT chromosome 1, whole genome shotgun sequence.
GAGCAGUGAUGCAACCAGCACAAAAUGUGAACGAUGGGUCGUCACACUCAUCUGAUGUUCAGAUGAAAAAAUUGUGCAUCUGAGCUC